UACAUGCUCUUUAGAUCAGAAGGUCC
rnacentral:piRNA from 1 species